GACAGAGGGUGCAAACGUUGCUCGGAAUCACUGGGCGUAAAGGGUGCGUAGGCGGGUCUUUAAGUCAGGGGUGAAAUCCUGGAGCUCAACUCCAGAACUGCCUUUGAUACUGAGGAUCUUGAGUUCGGGAGAGGUGAGUGGAACUGCGAGUGUAGAGGUGAAAUUCGUAGAUAUUCGCAAGAACACCAGUGGCGAAGGCGGCUCACUGGCCCGAUACUGACGCUGAGGCACGAAAGCGUGGGGAG
rnacentral:rRNA from 1 species